rnacentral:RNase_P_RNA from 1 species
UUGGUAAUUUGAGCAAUAGCUUCGGCUUUAGCCGAAGAGGAAAGUCCGGACACUCAUUCUUCGUAAGAAGAUUAAAAGUACAGGCUAACAGCCUGCCGCGGUAACGCGAGAGGUGCGAACAGAGACGGUUUAAUUCGAAAGAAUUAAACAGCCCUUUAAAGCUUUUAAGCAAAAAAAGGGUGAGACAAACUAUAACUUGGGUGUUCUCCUGCGCUAAAGCUAUGGAGAACAAACAAACUAAGGUUUGUUUGAAACGGCUAAAUCCUUACUCGAGUGCAAGGCCGUACUCUGGCGCUUUGCGUCAGUUUGAGCCGCUUGAGCCUGCGAGCAAUCAAAGGCCCAGACAAAUUAUUGCUUAUCUCGAAGAAAUUCGAGAAGACAGAAUCCGGCUUACAGAAUUACCAAUAUC